rnacentral:rRNA from 1 species
AUUGAACGCUGGCGGCAGGCCUAACACAUGCAAGUCGAGCGGAUGAGUGGAGCUUGCUCCAUGAUUCAGCGGCGGACGGGUGAGUAAUGCCUAGGAAUCUGCCUGGUAGUGGGGGACAACGUUUCGAAAGGAACGCUAAUACCGCAUACGUCCUACGGGAGAAAGCAGGGGGACCUUCGGGCCUUGCGCUAUCAGAUGAGCCUAGGUCGGAUUAGCUAGUAGGUGAGGUAAUGGCUCACCUAGGCGAUGAUCCGUAACUGGUCUGAGAGGAUGAUCAGUCACACUGGAACUGAGACACGGUCCAGACUCCUACGGGAGGCGGCAGUGGGGAAUAUUGGACAAUGGGCGAAAGCCUGAUCCAGCCAUGCCGCGUGUGUGAAGAAGGUCUUCGGAUUGUAAAGCACUUUAAAGUUGGGUAGGAAGGGCGAGUAAGUUAAUACCUUGCUGUUUUGACGUUACAACAGAAUAAG